AGGAGUCAUUGAAUGAUAUAGAGUGCUUGACGGCAUGUCUCGUAUAAUGUCCACAAAUUUGUGAACUAGGAUCAACUUACUAUGCGAACCAACAAUGCAUUUCUCUACCAGGGCAUGAUCGUAUACCAAUGGAGGUCGAAGAUAGGUCUCAUAAGGUCUAAAAAUAAUUGGGGUUAAAGGCUAUCAAUCUCCACACAGAUCAAUCCAAUGGAAGGAAGAUAAGGCAUACAAAUAAUUGGGUUAAAGGUGCCCCUCAUGGGGUGGUUGAGUUGAUAGAGUAGGUGAGCGCGGAAACCUUUGGUCACGAGUUCGAUUUUCCCCGCCAACACUUUCUCGAUCUAGCUUGUCGAAUCGAACUUGCCUAGUGUGGUGUACCUGGCUGUCACGAUUUACCAAUGGAGGUCGAAGAUAGGUCUCAUAAGGCCUAAAAAUAAUUAGGGUUAAAGGCUAUCAAUCUCCACAAAAAUCAAUCCAAUGGAGGUAGAAGAUAUGGCAUACAAAUAAUUGGGUUAAAGGCUAUCAAUUUCCACACAAAUCAAUUAUUAAGCCGUUUGAUUAUCUUUUCAUUGUAUUCACUUCAUUAUUAGCGCAUGUUGGCACUCAGUUUAUAUCCAUUCAUGGUUGGUCCCAUAAGUUUUAAUGUUUUGAUGUUCCUUUCAUUUUGUUCCAUGCAUACUGAUAUUCCUAUGAAUUUGGCAUGUCCAAAUAAUUGAGUGC
rnacentral:lncRNA from 1 species